GACGAACGCUGGCGGCGUGCUUAACACAUGCAAGUCGAACGGAAAGGCCCUGCUUUUGUGGGGUGCUCGAGUGGCGAACGGGUGAGUAACACGUGAGUAACCUGCCCUUGACUUUGGGAUAACUUCAGGAAACUGGGGCUAAUACCGGAUAGGAGCUCCUGCUGCAUGGUGGGGGUUGGAAAGUUUCGGCGGUUGGGGAUGGACUCGCGGCUUAUCACCUUGUUGGUGGGGUAGUGGCUUACCAAGGCUUUGACAGGUAGCCGGCCUGAGAGGGUGACCGGCCACAUUGGGACUGAGAUACGGCCCAGACUCCUACGGGAGGCAGCAGUGGGGAAUAUUGCACAAUGGGCGGAAGCCUGAUGCAGCAACGCCGCGUGCGGGAUGACGGCAUUCGGGUUGUAAACCGCUUUCGCCUGUGACGAAGCGUGAGUGACGGUAAUGGGUAAAGAAGCACCGGCUAACUACGUG
rnacentral:rRNA from 1 species